UACGUAGGCAGCGAGCGUUGUUCGGAGUUACUGGGCGUAAAGGGUGCGUAGGCGGCGCGGUAAGUCGGGUGUGAAAUCUCGGGGCUUAACUCCGAAACUGCAUUCGAUACUGCCGUGCUUGAGGACUGGAGAGGAGACUGGAAUUUACGGUGUAGCGGUGAAAUGCGUAGAUAUCGUAAGGAAGACCAGUGGCGAAGGCGGGUCUCUGGACAGUUCCUGACGCUGAGGCACGAAGGCCAGGGGAGCAAACGGG
rnacentral:rRNA from 1 species